rnacentral:rRNA from 1 species
CAAUAGCGUAUAUUUAAGUUGCUGCAGUUAAAAAGCUCGUAGUUGAAGUUUGGGCCUGGGCGGGCGGUCUACCUAUGGUGAGUACUGCUGCGGCCGGGUCUUUCCUUCUGGCUAGCCCUCGGGCGAACCAGGACGAUUACUUUGAGGAAAUUAGAGUGUUCAAAGCAGGCCUUUGCUCGGAUAUAUUAGCAUGGAAUAAUAGAAUAGGACGCAUGGUUCUAUUUUGUUGGUUUCUAGGACCAUCGUAAUGAUUAAUAGGGACGGUCGGGGGCAUCAGUAUUCAGUUGUCAGAGGUGAAAUUCUUGGAUUAACUGAAGACUAACUACUGCGAAAGCAUUUGCCAAGGACGUUUUCAUUAA